UUCUAGAGGCAUGUCUUCUAGUAUUGGAGAAGAUGCUUCAUAAUGUCAAGACUAUUGAGGUGGGUCCAUCAUGCCAAAUGCUAGAGUACGUUCCAUUCCUUGGAAGAGAGAAGAGGUAAGGUGAAAGUUAUGUUAGUACCUCUAAGAAAGAGUUCAUGUUUAUGUUU
rnacentral:lncRNA from 1 species